CAAGGCUUCCCCUAUUCUUGUCUUCUUCUAUCCUUCCACUGAGCAAGCUACCGUCACCGGACGUGGCCAUGCUCGGAUUGCAAAUUGUCCAUGCCCUAGCCGUUGCUUCCGCUGGAUCAAUGGGAUCCCAAUCUCGAUUUCCUAGGUAUGCUUGCCCUGUUCAGUAACUGAAGCUACUUCUUCUCUUUCACUACACCAAACCCACGAACUUUCACCCAAACGCAUACAGUUGAUUCCACAGGUACCACGGGCAUGCUACUAAUAAUGUCUAUUGGACUUUGAAAAACCAGGAAGGGCGCGGAAGCUACCGUUUAACGAAUGCAAUGCAAGCAAGGUAGCUUGCUUACUCUCCGUCUAGCGUGCGUUGGCGGCAAGGAAGGAGGCAUUGGAAAGACUAGACCAUACACAAAAGUACAAGAGGCAUUCGGGAAGCGACUAGUCGCUUCUGGUGAAGCUUAACGAAGGCCGACCAGUACAUAGAGACAACUACCGCAGGCUGAAGCCACCGCCAUUGGUGCCAUGGGGUCGCCGCUUGCCAGGGUCUCUGUCGUGGAGUGGUUCCGUGGAAGGCUCCUCCCUUUCCCUGUUUCAACGCAGAGGAGGAGAAAACGAG
rnacentral:lncRNA from 1 species